rnacentral:sRNA from 1 species
GUUAAAGGAUGGCAAGUGCGGUGAGGAUAACAGCAGGGUCUGGGGUGACAGCACAGAGCCCUGGACGAGGGGGCUUCCUGGGCUGCGUCUGGGUGGGGCCAGAGGUGAAGGCGGAACGGCAGAGUUAUCCAAGUGCUUCAGGUCAGCAGCAGCUCCCCCGGCUCGCGUUAGGAAUGCAGAUUCCGGGUGGGCCCCUGGCUGACCAGGCCCUGGGGUGGGCCUCGCCAUUGCCCUGCAGGGGUGCAGUGCCUGGGGAGCCGCUGCGGUAGAGUGCAAGCUUUGACUUGUGACGCCAUGUGACCCAGCUUUGCACACACAUGCCUGGGAUGCCUGCGUUUAUUUACAUGCACUUGUCUGCACAGGCAUGAGGGCCAUCAACGUGUGUCUGUGUGUGCACAGAUGCUACGUGUGUUCCGCUGCCCACAGCCCCAUCAACAUGUGCCUUUGUGUGCACAGAUGCUACGUGUGUUCAGCUGCACACAGCCCUUGUCCCCAGGUUGUGGCCACGCGUAGGAAGUCCAGAGACCCAUCUGGGAUGGCCCAUGUGACCGCCAGCCCUGCCCAUGUUCUUUGCAGAAGAGGCCGUGAAUGAGGUGAAGCGGCAGGCCAUGUCGGAGCUGCAGAAAGCCGUGUCGGACGCGGAGCGCAAAGCGCACGAGCUCAUCACCACGGAGCGUGCCAAGAUGGAGCGGGCCCUGGCCGAGGCAAAGCGGCAGGCCUCCGAGGACGCCCUGACGGUCAUCAACCAGCAGGAGGACUCCAGCGAGAGCUGCUGGAACUGCGGGCGGAAAGCCAGUGAGACGUGCAGCGGCUGCAACGCAGCACGCUACUGCGGGUCCUUCUGCCAGCAUCGGGACUGGGAGAAGCAUCACCACGUGUGUGGCCAGAGCCUGCAGGGCCCCGCGGCCGUGGGGGCCGACCCGGUGCCUGGACCGCCCGAAGCCGCCCACAGCCUGGGCCCCUCCCUGCCUGUGGGCGCUGCCAGCCCCAGCGAAGCCGGCUCUGCGGGGCCUUCUCGCCCCGGCUCCCCCAGCCCACCUGGCCCACUGGACACCGUGCCCCGCUGACCCCACUGGCCCCCGGCCUGCCGGACACAGCACCGUGCCAACCCCACCCAGCUCCAGGCCCACCGGAUGCUGUGCCUGGCCUCCAAUGCCCGGCCUGCCAGACACUGCGCCCCGCCUGACCUGGGGGAGCCGACCAAUUAGUCGCUGCUGCUACUGCCCCUCUCCGAAAGAAGACACAGAACCAACAAAACCGCAUUCAGUGCACCUGCCUCAGCUACCUAAUGAUUCCGCCCGGAGACCUCCUGACAACCUCUUUUCAAGCAUCCUCAGAAGCCUCGACUGAGCUUUAGACAGCAGAGCAGAUGCCGCAGGCGCGGCGGCUCUGCCCACCUCUCUCUUCCUCUCUGUCUGUCUCUCCCCCUCUGUCUUCUCUAUCCUCUCUCUCUCUCUGACUGUCACACACUUUCUCUUCAAUGAAAAAAUCGAAUUGGUGGCUUAUAUUUUCAGCAAAGAAUUUUGGGGGGUUUUGUUUGUUGGCAAAAGAGCUACUCAGAAAUGGACAAAGAAAACGGGGGGUUCUCCCCCUCCUGAUUAAAAAGGGAGAAAGAAAACUGCGAUUUUAUAGCUGGAGAUCUGAACCCAGCUGUGCCCCUCCCCCAGGGGCGUGAGGCUGAUCAGCGAAGACGGGAGGAAAGAUUUUGAUUUCUGACUCAAGAUGCAUUUUUGGUUUCAGAUUUUUUUUCCUGUAAUGUUAAACUCUUUGGCUUUAAGUAAAAAAUCCAAAAAGUUUUUUUAAAAAAGCAAAGG